CAAUAAAUCAGUUAUGGUUCCUUGGAUCGUACUUUGUUACUUGGAUAACUGUGGCAAUUCUAGAGCUAAUACAUGCAGCAGAGCUCCGACCUUCGGGAACGAGCGCUUUUAUUAGACCAAAAUCAAUCGGGCCUUGUGUCCGUUGAACGUGGUGACUCUGUAUAACUUUGGGCUGAUCGCACGGGCUCGUCCCGGCGACGUAUCCUUCAAGUGUCUGCCUUAUCAACUGUCGAUGGUAGGUUAUGCGCCUACCAUGGUCGUAACGGGUGACGGGGAAUCAGGGUUCGAUUCCGGAGAGGGAGCCUGAGAAACGGCUACCACAUCCAAGGAAGGCAGCAGGCGCGCAAAUUACCCACUCCCGGAACGGGGAGGUAGUGACGAAAAAUAACAAUACGGGACUCUUUUGAGACCCCGUAAUUGGAAUGAGCACAUUCUAAAUCCUUUAGCGAUUAUCAAUUGGAGGGCAAGCCAAGUGCCAGCAGCCGCGGUAACACUUGCUCCAAUAGCGUAUAUUAAAGUUGUUGCGGUUAAAAAGCUCGUAGUUGGAUCUCAGUUCUAGUCGGGCGGUCCGCCUAACGGCGGUAACUGCCCGUUCUGAACAAACCAGCCGGUUUCCCUUGAUGAUCUUCACCGGUUGUCUCGGUUGACCGGCAAGUUUACUUUGAAUAAAUUAGAGUGCUCAAAGCAGGCGUGACGCCUGAACAAUGGUGCAUGGAAUAAUGGAAUAGGACCUCGGUUCUAUUUUGUUGGUUUUCGGAACACGAGGUAAUGAUUAAGAGGGACAGACGGGGGCAUUCGUAUUGCGACGCUAGAGGUGAAAUUCUUGGACCGUCGCAAGACGAACUACUGCGAAAGCAUUUGCCAAGAAUGUUUCCAUUAAUCAAGAACGAAAGUUAGAGGUGCGAAGACGAUCAGAUACCGUCCUAGUUCUAACCAUAAACGAUGCCAGCCAGCGAUACUCAGCGCAGCAAGGCGUAGCAGGCCAGGACACAGGGAGGAUUGACAGAUUAAGAGCUCUUUCUUGAUUUUGUGGGUAGUGGUGCAUGGCCGCUCAUGGUUCGUGUAGUGAUUUGUCUGGUUUAUUCUGAUAACGGACGAGGCUCUAGCCUACUAAAUAGACGCUCGGAUCAACCCAAGUCCGGCGUUUCUUCUUAGAGGGACUGGCGGCGUUUAGCCGCACGAGGCAGAGCAAUAGCAGGUCUGUUAUGCCCUUAGAUGUCCUGGGCCACACGCGUGCUACAUUGAAGGACUCAUCGUGUGCUUUCCCUUUCCGACAGGAAUGGGUAACCCGUUGAACCUCCUUCGUGAUGGGGAUAGGGGAUUGCAAUUAUCCCCCUUGAACGAGGAACUCCUAGUAAGCGUGAGUCAUUAUCUCGCAUUGAUUAUGUCCCUGGCCCUUGUCCACACCGCCCGUCGCUAUUACCGAUUGAAUGUCUUAGUGAGGACUUCGGAUUGGCUGUCGAUUUGGCUUUAGGGUCGAGCCGACGUGCCGAAAAGAUGCCCGAACUUGGUCAUUUAGAGGAAAUAAAAGUCGUAACAAGGUAACUGUAGGUGAACCUGCG
rnacentral:rRNA from 1 species